CGCGGCCUAUCAGCUUGUUGGUGGGGUAGUGGCUUACCAAGGCUUUGACGGGUAGCCGGCCUGAGAGGGUGACCGGCCACAUUGGGACUGAGAUACGGCCCAGACUCCUACGGGAGGCAGCAGUGGGGAAUAUUGCACAAUGGGCGGAAGCCUGAUGCAGCAACGCCGCGUGCGGGAUGACGGCCUUCGGGUUGUAAACCGCUUUCGCCUGUGACGAAGCGUGAGUGACGGUAAUGGGUAAAGAAGCACCGGCUAACUACGUGCCAGCAGCCGCGGUGAUACGUAGGGUGCGAGCGUUGUCCGGAUUUAUUGGGCGUAAAGGGCUCGUAGGUGGUUGAUCGCGUCGGAAGUGUAAUCUUGGGGCUUAACCCUGAGCGUGCUUUCGAUACGGGUUGACUUGAGGAAGGUAGGGGAGAAUGGAAUUCCUGGUGGAGCGGUGGAAUGCGCAGAUAUCAGGAGGAACACCAGUGGCGAAGGCGGUUCUCUGGGCCUUUCCUGACGCUGUGGAGCGAAAGCGUGGGGAGCGAACAGGCUUAGAUACCCUGGUAGUCCACGCUGUAAACGGUGGGUACUAGGUGUGGGGUCCAUUCCACGGGUUCCGUGCCGUAGCUAACGCUUUAAGUACCCCGCCUGGGGAGUACGG
rnacentral:rRNA from 1 species